rnacentral:rRNA from 1 species
CCUACGGGAGGCAGCAGUGAGGAAUAUUGGUCAAUGGCCGGAAGGCUGAACCAGCCAUGCCGCGUGAAGGUCAGUGCCCUAUGGGCGUUAAACUUCUUUUGUGCGGGAGCAAUAAUGGUCACGUGUGGCCAGACGAGAGUACCGUACGAAUAAGCAUCGGCUAACUCCGUGCCAGCAGCCGCGGUAAUACGGGGGAUGCAAGCGUUAUCCGGAUUUAUUGGGUUUAAAGGGUGCGUAGGCUGUGAGGUAAGUCAGCGUUGAAAUGCCCCCGCUCAACGGGGUGAAGUGCCAUUGAUACUGCCUGGCUGGAAUGCGGAUGCCGUGGGAGGAAUGUGUGGUGUAGCGGUGAAAUGCAUAGAUAUCACACAGAACACCGAUUGCGAAGGCAUCUCACGAAUCCGCGAUUGACGCUGAUGCACGAAAGCGUGGGUAUCAAACAGGAUUAGAUACCCGGGUAGUC